CAAAAUAUUUCCCAUCUACCUAUUUCUUUAUCAUCAAAAUAUUAAGGUUAAUUUAAUCUAAAAUCUUGUUAUGCACUAUACUGAGAUCAGAAACAGACAGUUUGUUUCCUUUGCAAAUUUGCCAUGAUCUUUUUCUUCAAAACCAUAGGAAUUAACGUAAUCUUUUGCACUAAACAAAGUGUACAAGUUAUGAUUCCGACGUCAUUUUGGCACCCGUAUUUCUUAUUCUACUCCAUCAAGCAGUGUUUUUUUUUUAAAGAAAUCGUUUUGUGAGUCUGCACUGCCUUUUAAAUGUUUGCUUAGAACAUAUUUUUUUUCUCUUUUAUACAUAUGACGUGUACCCGGC
rnacentral:lncRNA from 1 species